rnacentral:rRNA from 1 species
GAUGAACGCUGGCUACAGGCUUAACACAUGCAAGUCGAGGGGAAACGACGGGGAAGCUUGCUUCCCCGGGCGUCGACCGGCGCACGGGUGAGUAACGCGUAUCCAACCUGCCUCUGACUGAGGGAUAACCCGUCGAAAGUCGGCCUAAUACCUCAUGGCAUCGUCUGCGGGCAUCCAACGACGAUUAAAGAUUUCAUCGGUCAGAGAUGGGGAUGCGUCUGAUUAGCUUGUUGGCGGGGUAACGGCCCACCAAGGCGACGAUCAGUAGGGGUUCUGAGAGGAAGGUCCCCCACAUUGGAACUGAGACACGGUCCAAACUCCUACGGGAGGCAGCAGUGAGGAAUAUUGGUCAAUGGGCGAGAGCCUGAACCAGCCAAGUAGCGUGCAGGAUGACGGCCCUAUGGGUUGUAACCUGCUUUUAUGCGGGGAUAAAGUGAGGGACGUGUCCUUCAUUGCAGGUACCGCAUGAAUAAGGACCGGCUAAUUCCGUG